ncrna:unclassified sequences Streptococcus sRNA SpF59 (ldcC RNA)
CGACCGCUCUCUCCGGAGAGCCAAGGCCACACGGACAGCCGGGUCGAAUGCCGA